rnacentral:lncRNA from 1 species
ACUACUAGUCCCUACAAACUCUUUACAUAGGUAAGUUUCAUUUGUACAAUCUGACUCAUAUGAUUUAUUUAAUUAAAGCGUAAGGAUACACUUGAUUCAAUAGUUGAAAUCUAUCUCAACACGUUCUUGAUGGACGAACAUUAUUAAAAUAUUCUCAUAUUAGGUUUUAUAUAUAUAGUUGAGCUCAUGUGCUUUUAAAAAUAGUGCAAGAGCAUUUAUGCUUAUGGCUUUUUAAUCGUCAGAUCGCGUCAAGGUCUGUACAGCACUAUUAAUGAUGUAUUCCGUUAAGUCCUCUUUACUAGUGCUGCAUGAAUGUUGAGGCGAUUUGACGGUUAAAAAAAAUCACAAGCUCAACUCUCUCUCUCUCUCUCUCAUGACUAGGCUCCUAUACUAUCUAUAGCAUCGGCGUGCUGAUCUAUUGACUCUUUCUCAACCUUAAAAUAUUAAAAUUAGCGAUUCACACCAUUAAAACUGAUAUAGAGUGUAGGUUAUGAGGAACCUUAGGAUUUAUCUAGAUACUAUCAAUUACUUAGAAGGGGGUGAAUAGAUAUAACGGCCAUACACCACACAUCUUAAUGUAAUAAAAAUAAAUGCGAAAAAUAAAAUAGCACACUGAGAUUUAC